rnacentral:rRNA from 1 species
AUGCAUGUCUCAGUACAAGCUAAAUUAAAGUGAAACCGCGAAAGGCUCAUUAAAUCAGUUAUGGUUCCUUAGAUCGUACCACAUUUACUUGGAUAACUGUGGUAAUUCUAGAGCUAAUACAUGCAAACAGAGCUCCGACCGGAAACGGAAGGAGCGCUUUUAUUAGAUCAAAACCAAUCGGUGGCGGGUUCGCUCGUCAUCGUACAAUUUGGUGACUCUGAAUAACUUUUAGCUGAUCGCACGGUCUAGCACCGGCGACGCAUCUUUCAAAUGUCUGCCUUAUCAACUGUCGAUGGUAGGUUCUGCGCCUACCAUGGUUGUAACGGGUAACGGGGAAUCAGGGUUCGAUUCCGGAGAGGGAGCCUGAGAAACGGCUACCACAUCCAAGGAAGGCAGCAGGCGCGCAAAUUACCCACUCCCGGCACGGGGAGGUAGUGACGAAAAAUAACGAUACGGGACUCAUCCGAGGCCCCGUAAUCGGAAUGAGUACACUCUAAACCCUUUAACGAGGAUCAAUUGGAGGGCAAGUCUGGUGCCAGCAGCCGCGGUAAUUCCAGCUCCAAUAGCGUAUAUUAAAGUUGUUGCGGUUAAAAAGCUCGUAGUCGAAUCUGUGUCCCGCGCCGCCGGUUCAUCGUUCGCGGUGUUAACUGGCGUGUCGCGGGACGUCCUGCCGGCGGGCUUAGCUCGUGAGGGCGGCCCAACACAAUCCCGCCGCGGUGCUCUUCGCUGAGUGUCGAGGUGGGCCGGCACGUUUACUUUGAACAAAUUAGAGUGCUUAAAGCAGGCCAAAACUUCGCCUGAAUACUGUGUGCAUGGAAUAAUGGAAUAGGACCUCGGUUCUAUUUUGCUGGUUUUCGGAACCCCGAGGUAAUGAUUAAUAGGAACGGAUGGGGGCAUUCGUAUUGCGACGUUAGAGGUGAAAUUCUUGGAUCGUCGCAAGACGGACAGAAGCGAAAGCAUUUGCCAAAAACGUUUUCAUUGAUCAAGAACGAAAGUUAGAGGUUCGAAGGCGAUCAGAUACCGCCCUAGUUCUAACCAUAAACGAUGCCAGCUAGCGAUCCGCCGACGUUCCUCCGAUGACUCGGCGGGCAGCUUCCGGGAAACCAAAGCUUUUGGGUUCCGGGGGAAGUAUGGUUGCAAAGCUGAAACUUAAAGGAAUUGACGGAAGGGCACCACCAGGAGUGGAGCCUGCGGCUUAAUUUGACUCAACACGGGAAACCUCACCAGGCCCGGACACCGGAAGGAUUGACAGAUUGAGAGCUCUUUCUUGAUUCGGUGGGUGGUGGUGCAUGGCCGUUCUUAGUUGGUGGAGCGAUUUGUCUGGUUAAUUCCGAUAACGAACGAGACUCUAGCCUGUUAACUAGGCGUAUUAGACAUCCCAAAGGCCCGCGAGAUUGGGGUUCGCUCCGAUUCUUGCGUGGUUUUUACUGUCUGCGUACAUACAAUUCUUCUUAGAGGGACAGGCGGCAUUUAGCCGCACGAGAUUGAGCAAUAACAGGUCUGUGAUGCCCUUAGAUGUUCUGGGCCGCACGCGCGCUACACUGAAGGAAUCAGCGUGUCCUCCCUGGCCGAGCGGCCCGGGUAACCCGCUGAACCUCCUUCGUGCUAGGGAUUGGGGCUUGCAAUUGUUCCCCAUGAACGAGGAAUUCCCAGUAAGCGCGAGUCAUAAGCUCGCGUUGAUUACGUCCCUGCCCUUUGUACACACCGCCCGUCGCUACUACCGAUUGAAUGAUUUAGUGAGGUCUUCGGACCGGUACGCGGUGGCGUUUCGACGUCACCGAUGUUGCUGGGAAGAUGACCAAACUUGAUCAUUUAGAGGAAGUAAAAGUC